AGCUUUUUGCAGUGGCAGUAUUGCAGCCAAUGAGGUUUAUCCGAGGGGUGAUUAUUGCUCUUUGAAAAUUGAAAAAAAAAAAAAAAAAAAAAAAAAAAAGACACGACAUUUGCAUAAAUUCUUUUUUUUUUUUUUUUUUUUUUGAAAAGGAAUCUCGCUCUGUUGCC
rnacentral:snRNA from 1 species